AAGCGUUAAUCCAAAGUUCUGUGACCAGAAAGGCAGUUCUUUGGGGAGCUUUAUAAAGGUUCUGCGUUUACCAAGAGCUGGUCUUAAGUCAUCUUGAAUGACCGAAAGAAAAUGCUGAAA
rnacentral:ncRNA from 1 species